GGGCCAUUCUCAUUUUGAUGUCUCUCCACAUGUUCUUGGUCUCCGUUCUGGGAGAUCAAAUCUUUGCAGAUCAAAUCUGGGAUUGGAUUUUCUGUUGUCUCCAGUGCAUGGUCUGGCAGAGCUGAAGUGUUCCCACACGUGGAAUACCCUGAAGUGUCACAAUUCAUUCACAAGGAUCAUGUUCCAGCCCUGGAACGGGGUGAUUACUGCUUCUCCUGGUCACCACUCUUCAGUGGGACAAAAGGCAGAAAUUUGCAGAGCAAUAGCCUUCAACCAUGCCUUGCACCAGCUUUAUCAACUCUCCCCACAUGGUAGAUAAGCAGUGAACUAAACCCACUUUAUCCAAAAAACCCCACAAUGGUUCCAGAUAUGUACCUCUGGUCCAAUAACUUCUGUGGACAUUUUGUCUGUUACGUUCAGGAGGACUGUGAAAUUGUUUGGAUGCAUCACACUUCAGAGAUACAGCUUUGAAGCAGCAACACUGAAAAGGGAAUAAAUGAAAGCUUUAAAAGAAAUAAAUUAAUUAAAUUCA